rnacentral:rRNA from 1 species
AUUGAACGCUGGCGGCAGGCCUAACACAUGCAAGUCGAGCGGAGCGGCGGACGGGUGAGUAAUGUAUGGGGAUCUGCCCUGCACUUCGGGAUAAGCCUGGGAAACUGGGUCUAAUACCGGAUAGUGUGGGAUGGGCCCGCGGCCUAUCAGCUUGUUGGUGGGGUAAUGGCCUACCAAGGCGGCGACUGGUAGCCGGCCUGGGAGGGUGGACGGCCACAUUGUGACUGAGAGACGGACCAGACUCCUACGGGAGGCAGCAGGGGGGAAUAUGGCACAAUCGGCGGAAGCCUGAUGCAGCGACGCCGCGUGGGGGAUGACGGCCUUCGGGUUGUAAACUCCUUUCACCAUCGACGCGGUAGAUGGAGAAGAAGCACCGGCUAACUACGUGCCAGCAGCCGCGGUAAUUC